CAGCAGCCACGGGAAUACGUAGGUGGCAAGCGUUGUCCGGAAUUAUUGGGCGUAAAGGGCUCGCAGGCGGUUUCUUAAGUCUGAUGUGAAAGCCCCCGGCUCAACCGGGGAGGGUCAUUGGAAACUGGGAAACUUGAGUGCAGAAGAGGAGAGUGGAAUUCCACGUGUAGCGGUGAAAUGCGUAGAGAUGUGGAGGAACACCAGUGGCGAAGGCGACUCUCUGGUCUGUAACUGACGCUGAGGAGCGAAAGCGUGGGGAGCGAACAGGAUUAGAUACCCGCGUAGUCCCUGUCUCUUAUAU
rnacentral:rRNA from 1 species